rnacentral:lncRNA from 1 species
UUUUUUUUUUUUGAAGCCUGGGGGUUGUUUAAAAGACCUUUUCCUGUUGAUCACAAAUUCAUGAUUUACUUGUUUACCAAACACCUUGGUCAUAAUAAUGCCAUUAGUUAAUAUGUUUUUAUUUUCUGAACGUUCAUGACUUAAGUUUCUUUGUGGAUAGUAGGUUCUGGGAAAACCUAUUUAGGAAAGUUAGAGUGAAUAUUUGACAUUUGAUUGGCCUAUAAUUUUACUUGAAAGCAGGCCCAUUAUACAGGUCCUUCCAAGAAAUCAGAGACUGUUAAUGCUGUAUGCGAUUAUGAUUUUAUUCUGUUUUUACCUUUGGUUUUUAUAAUAAAAUGUAGGCUCUCCAGGAAGUAGCCCCACCCUGAAAAUACUUAUUAACUGACUGCUUUCUAACAGUCCCUCAGCUGUGGUUCAUCAUCAGCGGUCAUUUUGUCAAGUCAUUCCAGCAACAGCAAUCGGAAUCGUGACCCUUGUGGCCCUGCCUUAGGGGGAGAGACCUGAUGGAGCAUGUUACCAGGGUGGGCACUCAUACUUUAUCUUCAGUUUAAAGAUUCGUCACAACACCUCCCCCAAAGUUUUAUAUUGAAACUUAGAACGGAAUCACCUUUAAUUGAAGUGACUGACACAAGUAGCCAAUAACUUAGCGACUGUCAAAUCCAGUUUACCAGGUAUCAGAACAAGACUGCUGUCCCUGUGUGCUGCAUAGUCUGUCCAUUGUUGGUACUUAGGAAGAGCAAUUCCUCACGUGGAAGCCUGCACUCC